AGGGAUGUAGCUCAGUGGUAGAACAUCUGCCUGCAUGCAGAAGGUCUCAGUUUCAAUCCUUGGCACUCCCA
rnacentral:tRNA from 1 species